AUUGAACGCUGGCGGCAGGCCUAACACAUGAAAGUCGAACGCAGUGGGGACGGGUGAGUAACACGUGGGUAACCUCCCAUCAGAGGGGAUAACACUUGGAAACAGGUGCUAAACCGAUACUGCUGGAUGGACCCGCGGUGCAUUAGCGAGUUUGUGAGGUAACGGCUCACCAAGGCAACGAUGUAGAGCCGGCUUGAGAGGUGGAUCUGCAACACGGAGACUGUGACACGGCCCAGAAUCCGACGGGAGGCAGAAGUAGGGAAUCGUCGGCAAUGGACGAAAGUCUGACCGAGCCACGCCGCGUGAGUGAAGAAGGUUUUCGGAUCGUAAAACUCUGUUGUUAGAGAAGCGGUAUCUAACCAGAAAGCCACGGCUAACUACGUGCCAGCAGCCGCGGUAAUAC
rnacentral:rRNA from 1 species